rnacentral:rRNA from 1 species
GUGGGGAAUAUUGGACAAUGGGCGCAAGCCUGAUCCAGCCAUGCCGCGUGAGUGAUGAAGGUUUUCGGACUGUAAAGCUCUGUUGUUUGGGACGAAAGUGCCUGUUGCGAACAGUUACGGGUAUUGACGGUACUAAACGAGGAAGCCACGGCUAACUACGUGCCAGCAGCCGCGGUAAUACGUAGGUGGCAAGCGUUGUCCGGAAUUAUUGGGCGUAAAGAGCAUGUAGGCGGGAAUCUAAGUCUGUUGUUAAAAUGCGGGGCUCAACCCCGUAUUGCGAUGGAAACUGGGUUUCUUGAGUGCAGGAGAGGAAAGGGGAAUUCCCAGUGUAGCGGUGAAAUGCGUAGAUAUUGGGAGGAACACCAGUGGCGAAGGCGCCUUUCUGGACUGUGUCUGACGCUGAGAUGCGAAAGCCAGGGUAGCGAACGGGAUUAGAAACCCCGGUAGUCC